CAGGCCUAACACAUGCAAGUCGAGGGGUAGCAGGGAUUGUAGCAAUACAAUUUGCUGACGACCGGCGCACGGGUGAGUAACGCGUAUGCAACCUACCUAUCAGAGGGGGAUAGCCCGGUGAAAGCCGGAUUAAUACCGCAUAAAACAGGGGUUCCGCAUGGGAAUAUUUGUUAAAGAUUAAUUGCUGAUAGAUGGGCAUGCGUUCCAUUAGUUAGUUGGUUGAGGUAAUGGCUCACCAAGACAUCGAUGGAUAGGGGUUCUGAGAGGAAGGUCCCCCACACUGGUACUGAGACACGGACCAGACUCCUACGGGAGGCAGCAGUGAGGAAUAUUGGUCAAUGGACGAGAGUCUGAACCAGCCAAGUCGCGUGAAGGAUGACUGCCCUAUGGGUUGUAAACUUCUUUUAUAGGGGAAUAAAAAGGAUCACGUGUGAUCUAUGGCAUGUACCCUACGAAUAAGCAUCGGCUAACUCCGUGCCAGCAGCCGCGGUAAU
rnacentral:rRNA from 1 species